UACGUAGGGACCGAGCGUUGUCCGGAAUCAUUGGGCGUAAAGAGCGUGUAGGCGGCCACUUAAGUCCUGCGUGAAAUCUUGCGGCUCAACCGCAAGCGGUCGUGGGAAACUGGGUGGCUAGAGUGCGGGAGAGGAGAGUGGAAUUCCUGGUGUAGCGGUGGAAUGCGCAGAUAUCGGGAGGAACACCUGUGGCGAAAGCGGCUCACUGGACCACAACUGACGCUGAGGCGCGAAAGCUAGGGGAGCAAACAGG
rnacentral:rRNA from 1 species